CGGCGGAUGAGGAGGGAGGGGAAGUGCAUCUUCAGGUAGGUGCAGGUGCAGAUCAGCAGCAGCACCACCGUCACGAACGAGUGGAAGUUGAACAGCGCCGACUGCAUCCACCAACAACACCGCCGCCGCAGACACCAUGCGUAAAAGUAAGAACAGGACUAAGGAAUCCAAAAGCAGGUAAGGCUCAGAUGGAGAAAGAGGUUCGGUAGCGUUACCAUGGGUGUCCCGCGAAGAGAUCGAAGCGGACGCCGAAAGGGGGUAGUGGAGGCUCAGGCGGAAUACGCGGUUGCGGCGGCGGUCGCACCUCGGCGGGGACAAGGAACGGAGCAAGGAAAGCGGCGUU
rnacentral:lncRNA from 1 species